rnacentral:lncRNA from 1 species
CUAGUGCCGGGCGGCUACAUAAUUACUGGAAGCCAGCUAGUGCCAGGGGGCUACAUAAUUACUGGAAGCCAGCUAGUGCCAGGGGGCUACAUAAUUACUGGAAGCCAGCUAGUGCCAGGGGGCUACAUAAUUACUGGAGGUGCCGGGUGGCUACAUAAUUACUGGAAGCCAGCUAGUGCCGGGCGGCUACAUAAUUACUGGAAGCCAGCUAGUGCCGGGCGGCUAUAUAAUUACUUGAAGCCAGCUAGUGCCAGGGGGCUACAUAAUUACUGGAAGCCAGCUAGUGCCAGGGGGCUACAUAAUUACUGGAAGCCAGCUAGUGCCGGGCGGCUACAUAAUUACUUGAAGCCAGCUAGUGCCGGGCGGCUACAUAAUUACUGGAAGCCAGCUAGUGCCAGGCGGCUACAUAAUUACUGGAAGCCAGCUUGCUCCAAGCAACAAUUUGCGGCAUUGGGAUUCCAAUUACGCUCAUUAGCCGUUGGAUCAUUGCAACCUUCCAUCUGAAAAGGGAUUGUCGCGUACCAGGUGUCGAUAACAUAUGUUGUUAGCUUGUUACUGUAGGAGAGGUAGUGUAUCAUAGCCCAUCAAUCACUCAAGACUAGCUUGUUACUGUAGGAGAGGUAGUGUAUCAUAGCCCCCAUCAAUCACUCAAGACUAGCUUGUUACUGUAGGAGAGGUAGUGUAUCAUAGCCCCCAUCAAUCACUCAAGACUAGCUUGUUACUGUAGGAGAGGUAGUGUAUCAUAGCCCCCAUCAAUCACUCAAGACUAGCUUGUUACUGUAGGAGAGGUAGUGUAUCAUAGCCCCCAUCAAUCACUCAAGACUAGCUUGUUACUGUAGGAGAGGUAGUGUAUCAUAG